rnacentral:lncRNA from 1 species
GAUCUCCGGGGCCACCCGGUGGCGAAAAACGCGCAAGUGCACCCCCGGUUCUCUGCCUCGUGGGGACGGAUCUGGGACCCGAAGGCCAGCCGUGGUUCCAGACGAGCGGUGUGGCCGUGGCGGCGGCGUCCCCGGGCAGACGGGGGUUCAGGUUUCCCAGUAUUCAGUGAAACCUGCCAACCAGGAAAAGGACUGUUUAUCCUUUGAGGAUGUGGCUGUGUACUUCUCCUGGGAGGAAUGAACACUGCUUGAUGACUCAAAAGAUCCUGCACCAGACUGUGAUGUCAGAGAUCUGAACAUCAUGUCUUUGAUGGGACUUAUAUCUUCUGGGAUCCAUGACAUGACUCAGCUGGAGUUUUGGGGAGAGCCCUCUGUGCUUGCAUUGAGAU